AGGAAGAACAACCACAGUGGCAGGGCCAGCUCUGGAGCCCUGGCUUCAGCCCCCGCAGGAACCAUGGAGCUCUCGGUCCACAGGACCUGGAUGCUCCGGGGGCAG
rnacentral:pre_miRNA from 1 species